GCAUAUGUGUACCUUACAUAUGUGUAUAUAUAGAAUAAGAACCCUGAAUGCCACCAUAACAUACACCUAUUAGUGCCACCCUAAUAAAUGUUGCAGCAAUUUAAAAAGUUUAUAAAUUCAAACUCAAUUACCCCAUCUUGUCAAACUAAUUCUAAAAGUUUCAAUGUGAUCCAUGUAUUUCACUAUCUUGAACCUAUUUGAAU
rnacentral:lncRNA from 1 species